rnacentral:rRNA from 1 species
CAGUAGCCACGGUAAUACGUAGGGUGCGAGCGUUAAUCGGAAUUACUGGGCGUAAAGCGUGCGCAGGCGGUUAUAUAAGUCAGAUGUGAAAUCCCCGGGCUCAACCUGGGAACUGCAUUUGAGACUGUAUGGCUAGAGUGUGUCAGAAGGGGGUAGAAUUCCACGUGUAGCAGUGAAAUGCGUAGAUAUGUGGAGGAAUACCGAUGGCGAAGGCAGCCCCCUGGGAUAACACUGACGCUCAUGCACGAAAGCGUGGGGAGCAAACAGGAUUAGAUACCCGCGUAGUCCCUGUCUCUUAUAA